UUCCCGGGAACCGCCGUCAAGACAGAACUGCGGAGGAGGAGUUCGGGGAAGCGGCCGUCGGGACCCCUCCUCUGCGUUCCCCCCGCCCCAGCUGAGAGGCGCCUGGGCGGCUCUGAGGAACCCUCCUCCGUGUUUCCUCUGGCCGCCGCCGCCGCCGGGAGAUGGGCCUGCUCGCCCGCAGCCCUGCGCCCUAUCGAGGAGUUGAAGCCGGUGCAGCUGGAGGCCCCCCCGGGGAAAGGAGAGAGGCAUGCCCAGGGGAACGUUCAUCCGGGGGACGGCCACCCCCUGCAAAAGCAGAAAUUAAACCGACGAAAACUGGUGUGGCCUUGGGGUAAAGUAUGUCUUACGAGGGGGUCUUCCAGGAUUGUCUCCUUCAUGCUAAACCUUGAGAGACUUCUCCGUCUUCAUCCAGCAAGUAAUGCCACUGUUUUUAAUUUCCAGUUUUUCCUAUCAUUUGAAUUCCCCUCUGUCGUUCCCCACCCCCUUUCAUUAAUAGGGAGGAAAAUAAGUUUAGGGUUCAUUAACCUCGCGACAAGGGCAGUAAAUAAAAGAGUGAAAAGAAUGGCUAUAUAUGGGAGAAAAAAAGAUCUCAUUUUUUUUCCCCAUUAGCUCUUGAAGAUAGAAAUAUACGAACGAUGCUUUAUUCUGGUUAAUAUUUACUAUUCAAAACGUUGCUGAAAGUCCUGUUGGGUGGACGUUAGAAAGGACAGCUUUUAAAUGCUGCUGCAGUUUUCAAACCCAGGUGUUGGCUGCAAAUGCUCGUGUUAAAUGUUAUUAAACAGUGGAGGAAUAAAGCAGUUCUUUCCUCUGAUCGGUUGCCUUAAAAUGUUCCUGAUUUUUCCCUUUCCAUUCCUUUUUUGGGGGGGUGGGGUGGGGUAAGAACAUGACUGUGUUUUUAUUUAUACAUAUGUAUUUUUUAUUUUAACUGAAUUCCUUGACCCAUUUUGUUAUGUGAAGUCUGAUGGUAUGCCCAAGUUUCAUUUUCAGUUUUGCCAUUAACCAUCUUAAUAAGCAUCUUUCCACUUCGGUUUAUAAGUCAAGCCAUUUUUACCGUAUUUGCCAGUUUAUGCUUCCUUAACACCCAGCUGUCAGAACUGAAUCAAAAUGUAAAUAUUUCUAUUUAGAAAAUGGCGAUGAUCUAUUGUUAACAUUUCUUUUCAGACGUUCGUUGCCUGCUACUUACAAUUCCAUAGUAAAGAUUUAGAGUCUUGGGACUUAAUAAAUAAACCAAAUUAUGCAACAGCAAUAACAACAACAACAAAACCCCUUUUUGUUAGCUUUAUUUCUCUUUUAUUAUUGUAUACAAUGUAACACGCGGAGGGCGGCAGCGGCGGGGAGGCGGUGGCGGGGGCGGAGCGCAUUCCUGAUGGGUGAAAUCGGCUCUUAACGGGACCGAUUUCCGGGCCUCGCUGCAAAAUUCGGAGCCGGGGCCAACGCCCCCACCCCACCCCCACAGCCGGUGCAGCUGGAGGCCCCAGGGGAAAGGAGAGAGGCAUGCCCAGGGAACGUUCAUCCGGGGACGGCCACCCCUGCAAAAGCAGAAAUUAAACCGACGAAAACUGGUGUGGCCUUGGGGUAAAGUAUGUCUUACGAGGGGGUCUUCCAGGAUUGUCUCCUUCAUGCUAAACCUUGAGAGACUUCUCCGUCUUCAUCCAGCAAGUAAUGCCACUGUUUUUAAUUUCCAGUUUUUCCUAUCAUUUGAAUUCCCCUCUGUCGUUCCCCACCCCCUUUCAUUAAUAGGGAGGAAAAUAAGUUUAGGGUUCAUUAACCUCGCGACAAGGGCAGUAAAUAAAAGAGUGAAAAGAAUGGCUAUAUAUGGGAGAAAAAAAGAUCUUAUUUUUUCCCCAUUAGCUCUUGAAGAUAGAAAUAUACGAACGAUGCUUUAUUCUGGUUAAUAUUUACUAUUCAAAACGUUGCUGAAAGUCCUGUUGGGUGGACGUUAGAAAGGACAGCUUUUAAAUGCUGCUGCAGUUUUCAAACCCAGGUGUUGGCUGCAAAUGCUCGUGUUAAAUGUUAUUAAACAGUGGAGGAAUAAAGCAGUUCUUUCCUCUGAUCAGUUGCCUUAAAAUGUUCCUGAUUUUUCCUUUCCAUUCCUUUUU
rnacentral:lncRNA from 1 species